CUGCCAGUCUCCCCAGAAGGACGAAAUGGAAGCGGGUGCUUCAUCGUCCCUUUUUGGGACAGAAGGUCAACGACACAAACAGGAUAAUAGCCAGGCACGGGGUGCUGGCCGUGCCUCAGCCCAGUGAAACCUGGGAACCUGAUGCAAGCACACGGGAACUUGCUCCGCUGGCAACUUCCACAGUGUCUUUCGUCAGCCAAACGGUCUGUUCCAGGUCUGUGUCUUUCGUCAACAAAGUCCUUCAGAGCGGGAAUCCUGGGAGCCAGGCCUGGACUGAGCCUUUCACAAGGACCAGGUGUCUUCAUGCAGUGACUUUAGUUCCUCGCUCACUGCUCACCAUUCCCCAUGAGUUCCAGAAAUCAUGGCCCAAACUGGAGCUACCUCAGCCUGACCUGGAUGAUGUAAGCCACACAAGGGAGCAGGUGAAGUAUGCCCCAGAGGACACAGCCACCUCCACUCCAGGCCACACAUCUGCAUCUGCUCCAGGGAACAAACUCCAAACUCACUCUGGCCCUUCCCUUUCUGUCCUGUCUGACCACUGCACCAGCACUUCUCCAAUACAAGGACCUGCCAAAACCGCCUCUCACCUUUCCUAGUCCCCCCCAGCAGUCCCCAGCAUUGCCCUGACCCUUUUCUC
rnacentral:lncRNA from 1 species